AAAUGUUAUAUCAGUGCGAUGUGGUCUAGCUAUGUCUUUGUGCACGCGAGCCGAAACGGACCUAGGAUUGGGUAACGGAAAUCCGGUUAUGCUCGUCCUGAUCGACUUGAUACCUAAAUAUGAACAAUUUAAUCAAUAAUAAUAAUAUGAAAUCAAACGUAAUGUCAACCAUAUUAUAAAAUCAUGUGAUAUUAUUAUUUCUCGUUAGUUGAGUCAAGAACUUUGAAAAUGUUUCAUACUUACGAUAUAUACUUGAAGUGUUUUAGAGGUAAAGCACAUUCUUCGCUGUCCGACCUCCAAGCAUAUCCCUGAGCCAACAGGGCCGACAGAAAUACAAGCCACGUUAAAGGAGUUCUAAAAUAAAAUCACAUUCAUAUUUUAUUACACUUAUAUAAAAUCCAAAAAACAACUAUGUUCACAAUCCGUGAUCUUGUCGGCGGAACUUACCUCAUUUUGCAGGGGCUAUGGCACGUGUGAUGAUCAGUACGUUGGGUCACAGUCUUUUAUAAAAGGUGUCCCCGCUGCCACGGGACGCCAUACGGAGAGGCGGCCCGAUUGAAAGUCGAUUUCGUUUUCAACAUGUUGUUCUCAUAAUUUAUUCAUAAGACAUACACCAAUCAGCGUGUAUGUACUGAAAUAAAUGACGUAUUUCAGUUCACUCUGGAGAAUCGUAAAUACGAGCCCCGACAUAUACUAGAUUGCUGCAGAUUUAUUACUCGAAAGGAUUUUCCACGGAAUAAAUAUAUUAUAAUAACAUCAAUAAUAGACAAUACAGUCUACGUACACACAGCAAAUAUCAUAAUGUCGCAAACCUACGCGUAUGUACCGUGUAAUUUGAAAAAAAAUACAAAAAUAAUUAUUUACAAUUUACAUCAAUAUUUAUCCAUUUUAAUAUUUAUCAAAAAUAAAUAAUAAAAACAAUUGUAAAAACGUAAUUUUUAUGAAUGGGAAUUGAAACUACAAAGUUUUUUUGAAAAUGUAUAGCUGCUAAAACGUGCUAUCUCUAAUUUAAGUUUUAUUUUAAAGACAACAAUCUCUUUCUGCAGGGAAUACAACUUUUUGAGGUAUUAUAAUUUUUUAAGUCGAUAGUUUUGAGUUCAAAUACUUUGACAUUUAUGAAAUCUGACUAGGAAUUUUGUUAUGGGAAUUAAAAAAAAAAUAAUCUAAACUUCGAGCUAAAUUCGGCAUUUAGAAUAUUAUCUUACCAAUAAAAAAAUAUUAUUCAAAUGCGUUAUUAUGUGAGUUAUUUAAAUCUGAAUUCUACUAAACUAUAUUACCAGGUAUCAUCUGUACUCAUCCAAUGAAUUUUAUAUUUUAAUGUUCAUGCGUGUGGUAAUAUAUGGAUGUUAUAUUGCAAUAUGUUGCCUCUUAUUACUUAUUAGUAAUUAAAUAGUCGCUUUGAUUUCGCUUUAAAAAAUUUACAACAUUUUUGAAUCUUUUACUACAUUUUUUAUAAGUAAUAUUUUAAGUAAAAAUGCAUACUAUUUAUAAUAGGAAUAUGUUGACAUUUUGAAGGAGCGUAUGAAAAACUUUUGCUUUUUCGUAGUAACUAGUA